rnacentral:rRNA from 1 species
GAUCAUGGCUCAGGAUAAACGCUGGCGGCGUGCUUAACACAUGCAAGUCGAACAAGUUUUUUCUUUUCGGGAGGAACUUAGUGGCGGACGGGUGCGUAACGCGUGGGUAACCUGCCCUGUACAGGGGGACAACAGCUGGAAACGGCUGCUAAUACCGGCAUAAGCCCUUAGCGCUGCAUGGUGCAUAGGGAAAGGAGCAAUCCGGUACAGGAUGGACCCGCGUCUGAUUAGCCAGUUGGCAGGGUAACGG